rnacentral:tRNA from 1 species
GGAGGCGUGCGGUUGGCUGGUGCUGCCCCCGGUCUUCAACACCGGUGAGGUCCAGGAUCUGGGCCUGGUGGGUUCGAUUCCCAUCCGCCUCCGCCA